AAUGAAGUCUCCUCUCCCAGCACCUGCGCGCCCUCACUGGGCUUCCAGGGGGCGGGGGAAAAGCUUUCUCACCGCCCUACGGGUUCCUCCUUUUCUGACCUGGGGAGGCGCAGGGCUGGGAACGGGGCUGCGUUGAAGCUUCUGGUCUUCCCGGCUGCCUGGGCAGCCUGUUUGGCGCCCAGGAAGUUACAGUACUUGCAGAGGAAGCACUAGGGAAUACCGGGGCCUCACUCCGGACCCCCAAGUCCAAACCAGCACCACAGAGCGGAAGCCAGUUGUAACUGGGAAAAAGCAAAGCUGCUAAGAUGGAGUUUCCCAGGCUGGAGUGCAGUGGCAAGAUCUCAGCUUACUUCAACCUCCAUCUCCUGGGUUCAAGUGAUUCUCCUGCCUCAGCCUCCCAAGUAGCUGGGAUUACAGGGAAUAACAGACAAAUUGGAAAUCUCAGAGGCCUUCCCAGAUCUGGGUGAUCAGAAGCUGACGUGGCAGAUGAGCAUCUAAGAUGGAGUUGCUUCAGCCUGCACAGGGUAUAUACGCAGAAGUGGAGUUUCUGAACCUUGUGGUAAUUCACAUUUUAAUUGAUUGAUUUUCAUAUGCUAUACCAUCCUUGUAUUCCUGGAAUAAAUUCCAUUUUCUCGUGGGGUAUUAUCCUUUCAAUAUUGUGUUGAAUUUUGUUUGUUAGUAUUCAUUUUUGAGUAUUUUUUACGCUGAUAUUUAUAAGGGUUAUUGGUCAGUAGUUUUCUUGUAUUGUCUUUGUCUGGCUUUGACUUUAAGGGUAAUGCUAGUCUCCCAGAAUGAUUUGGGAAGUGUUCUCUCACCUUCAAUGUUUAGCUUAUCCAAUUUGUUGGGAUAAUAGUUGGUCAUAGUACUCUGCUAUAAAUCCUCUUAUUUUUGUAAAAUCAGUUCUUAUGUUCCCACUUUCACUUCUGGUACUAGUAAUUUGAGUCUUGUCUCUUUUCUAUGUCUAUCUAAAGGCUUAUAAUUUUGUUCGUACUUUCAAAGAAUGAACUCUUGGUUUUUUAUUUUUUAAAUUGUUUUUCUAUUCUCUAUUUUAUUAUUGCUGUUCUAAUAUUUAUUGUUUCCUUCUUUUUACUAGCUUUGGAUUUAGUUUGUUCUUCUUUUUCUAUUUUCUUAAGGUGUAAACUUAGGUUGUUGUUGAUUUGAGAGUUUUUCAUUUUUAAUAUAAACAUUUCCAGCCAUACAUUUCCCUCUUAGCACUGCUUUCACUGCAUCUUAUAAGUUUUGAUAUGCUGUAUUUUGAUUUUCACUUUCAUUAGUCUCAAGAUAUUUUCUAAUUCCUGUUGUGAUUUCUUCUUUGACCCUUUGGUUUCUUAAGGCUGUGUUAAUUAAUUUCCACGUAUUUAUAAAUCUUCUAGUUUUCCUUCUGCUAUUGAUUUCUAGUUUAAUUCCAUUGUGAUCAGAAAAGAUGCUUGGUAUGAUUUCAGUCUUUUCAAAUUUUUAAGACUUGUUUUGUGCCCUAAUAUAUUAACUUAUAUUGGACAAUGUUCUAUGUGCACUUGAGUAAAAUGUACAUUCCGCUGUUGUUUGGUGGAAUGUUCUAUGGAUGCCUUUUAGAAGCAGUUGGCCUGUAGCAUUGUUUGAAUUUUCUAUUUUCUUAUUGAUCAUGUCUGAUUGUUCUAUCCAUUAUUGAAAGUGAGGUAUUGAUGUAUUUUACUAUUAUUGUAGAGCUGUCCAUUUCUCUCUUUAAUUCUAUCAAUGUUUGUUUCAUAUAUAGGGGAUUUGAUGUUUAUUUCACACAUAUUUGUAAUUGUUAUGUUUUCUUGGUGAAUUGAAGCCUUUAUUAUUAUUCAGUAUUCUUCUUUGUCUCUUGUGACAGUUUUCUACUUUAAGUUUAUUUGUCUAUAUUACUCUCUUUUAUCCUUUUCAUUUUCAACCUAUGUGUGCCCUUAAAUCUAAAGUGAAUCUUCUUUUUUUUUUUUUUUGAGACGGAGUUUCACUCUUGUUACCCAGGCUGGAGUGCAAUGGCGCCAUCUCGGCUCACCGCAACCUCCGCCUCCUGGGUUCAGGCAAUUCUCCUGCCUCAGCCUCCUGAGUAGCUGGGAUUACAGGCACGUGCCACCAUGCCCAGCUAAUUUUUUGUAUUUUUAGUAGAGACGGCGUUUCAUCAUGUUGACCAGAAAGUGAAUCUUCUGUAGAGAGCAGAUAGAUCCUGUUUUGUUUGUUUGUUUUAAAUCCAUU
ensembl:lncRNA